ACUUACCGAUGAUGAGUUGCAAACCUUAUUGCCUACAUUGGUUGAUGAACCUGCUGCAAUUUAGGAUUUU
rfam:Triticum aestivum genome assembly, contig: Triticum_aestivum_CS42_TGACv1_scaffold_306208_4AS